UACGAGGGGGGCGAGCGUUGUUCGGAAUUAUUGGGCGUAAAGGGUGCGUAGGCGGUUUGGUAAGUCUGAUGUGAAAUCUAUGGGCUCAACUCAUAGUCUGCAUCGGAAACUGCCGGGCUUGAGUGUGGGAGAGGUGAGUGGAAUUCCUGGUGUAGCGGUGAAAUGCGUAGAUAUCAGGAGGAACACCUGUGGCGAAAGCGGCUCACUGGACCAUAACUGACGCUGAGGCGCGAAAGCUAGGGGAGCAAACAGG
rnacentral:rRNA from 1 species